UUUUUUUUUGUUAUUCGAUUAAAACACCACUGAUGUGUUCCCAUCUUACAGAAAGGUUUGGGUUUCCCUUCAAAGGGAACUCGACGUUGCGUGAGCUCAACGCUGUGGGAAGCGCCCUCGUGCAUGACUGAUAUCUGAAGCUUGUGUAAUAUCAUGCCUAUUUAUAGGCCUGCUGUGAUAAGGUGACAUGGCAAUUCAGCAUAUAUAAAUGGCACCUGUGAACCAUGCUGUCAGAUAAUAAUCUUCAGCGAGACUGCAUGUCAUUCAUUUGUUUAAUGAAAGAAAAAUCUCUUUACUUUUCUGUCCCUUAAAAUAGGAGAAAAGUAUGAGUGAGAGAGAAAUCAGGAAGUGUAUUACGCCUGGCUACUGUUUCAUCCAGGAGUGGGGCGACUACCAAUGUGAGUGAAGAAGAGUGAACCAUGAGUGAUCCAUGGCCACUCGUGCUCAUUAGCAAAAGCAGCAGCAUUGUGGCAGUAGUAAAUUACUUAGCUUAGUUUAGCUUAGGAUCUUAGCAGGUUUAAGGCCAAAAAAUAAUUAAUUAAUGAAAUUAAUAAAUAAUAUUGAAACAUUCACUUUUUGUUGCAUUCGAGCAAAAUCCCAGUAUAGCUCCUAUCUUUGGGGGAACUGCUUCAGCGCUCAGGAAAGAGCAGCACCAAGCCGGACACUUCACCCAGAAAACACAGAGGCCACGGCCGAAGAGCUGCGUUCCGGCUCCCGGUCACCAUCGAACAUAUAGUGAAUGACACCCAGUUGGUGGCGCUCACUUGCUGUGAUAGGAGCUACACUGGGAUUUUGCUCAAUUGCAACAAACAGUAGCUAGCUGAGCACACACCGCUUCUCCUUCAUCUUGUUGGAUAUGAUGCAUAUAUACACUGGUGAAUUUUAUAUAAGAUCCUCUCCAUCCAGAAUGUUUUAUUUAGCAGCAAGAAAACUGGUUUAUUGUCAAAAGUGGAAUGUUAGUUGCGCCACCCAUGUUACUAUGACAACCAGUAAUAGGAUCACCUACCUGCAACUUCAUAGUACAGUGAUUGGCAACUUGCAGCAAUAAAAUCACUGUAUGUGUGAAUGUAACAUUACAAUUAGGCAGCUCCGCUCAUGACUGGCUUCAUACACUAUGGACACUUUAGACACGCCAAUCAGCCUACCAUGCAUGUCUUUGGACUGGGGGAGGAAACUUGAGUACCUGGAGGAAACCCCCACAGCACAGGGAGAACACGCAAACUCCGGACACACAUGGCCCCGGCGGGAAUCAAACCACGGACCCUGGAGCUUUGUGAAGAUAAACAGAAGGCAGCGGUGGGAGACUCACCUUCCUUUACCUUCAGUUCCACCCAUGUGGAAAUGUCUUUCACACUAGGCAAAUCAACUCCACAGUAGUACGUCCCAGUGUCCCUUACAGUGACA